UACAGAGGGUGCGAGCGUUGUUCGGAAUUAUUGGGCGUAAAGCGCUUGUAGGCGGCACACUAAGUCUCGUGUGAAAUCCCUCGGCUUAACCGAGGAAGUGCGCGGAAAACUGGCGAGCUUGAGUGCCGGAGAGGGUCGCGGAAUUCCCGGUGUAGAGGUGAAAUUCGUAGAUAUCGGGAGGAACACCUGUGGCGAAAGCGGCGCACUGGACCAUAACUGACGCUGAUGCGCGAAAGCUAGGGGAGCAAACAGG
rnacentral:rRNA from 1 species